GAAAUAUGGCUAGAAAUGCAUCUUCUGUUCAGUUUGGGAAAAGAAAUAUUCUUUUAGAGUUUUCAACCAAAUGGCAUAAUAUAUCUCGACAUUUAACUUCUGUUUGAUUUUGAAACUCUUAUAUGUUUUCCUUACAGGCAUUUUGGAAGAGUGUGUAUCCUGCUAUGAGAUUCAACUGCAUCAGCUGCCUGGGUGAGGCUAAGAGAAGGCAGGGAGUUGGAUGUUACCAGGAGCGGAGGUAUUUCCAGGUGAGGUUUAAGUUAUACCACGAAUCCUCAACUGCUGUGAGGUAAGAACAUUUAAUUUUUAUUUUUUCUUGGAGUCUUGUGCAUCCAGGUUGGACGAGGAGAGAAGGAGAGGCUGGCAGGAACUCUUUUUCUGGAUCAGGUUGUCUGUAGCCCCAAGACUGAGUGCACACGUUUCCAUCAAGCCAGGCAGAAGGGCCACCAGGUGACCGCAGCAGCCAACCCCAAGGGGUCUCUGGCAGAGCUUUGGGCUUCUCUGCAGAUGUCGAGGUUGGAUUUAUUCUUCCUGCCCUCCUACCGAGCAUGUCUUGGGGAUUAGUGGGAAACUGACUGUAAAGAUCUUUUGCUUCCUUUUUGCAUAUAGCUAUGUAAUCUGACUUCAGGUGAAAAUUUAUGUCUAAGUGGUAAAUGUUUUUGAGAACCCAGUGAGGAUUGUGAAUCCCUUUGCCAGUUUCAUGAUGGAGGGAGUUAACAUGGAUCAUAAAAGGGCUGAAAGAGUGUCUGAGGUUACCUCUACCUUGUAUCACCAUACGAAGUAGCCAACAACUCCAUGAGAUAAGUUUUUCUCCAGCAGCAUCAUUGGAGCUUGCAGCACAAGUUGGAAAAGAUGGGGAAAACCCACUUUUCUCUUAUAUGAAAAUGACUUCUCCCAAUCCUGUUUUGUCUCAGCAUACAAUAUAUAUGGUUGUUAAUUUACUACCCACAGCAUCAUGGACUCAUCCUCUUCCCUGAAUCGCUUGUAAAUAUUUUCUCAAACUGAGUGUAUUUUCCAAUGUUUAUCCAGGUAUCUGCAUAUCCAACUCUUCAUUGUCCCUGGUGCAGGUUAACCAUGCUCUGCAGGGUACCUCUUUAUCCCCUCAGCCUGUCCCAGGCCUCCUGCCAGUGUCCACAGUGCUGUGCGUUGGGUGUCUAAUUCCACCUCCCCCUGAGAGGUAGGUGGCCAGCCACCCCUAGGAGAAGCUGACACCAAGGGUGGCCAUAUGGGGGGAAGGAAGAGGUUGGUGCUGGUUACCUCCCACCUUGGACUAUGUUCAUUUCUCUUUUCCUUACUGCAGGUCACUGACAUGUGAACACAUGCUCCUAACAAGUUGACCCCAGUCUUGCUGAAAUUGCCUAGACUGUAUUAUUUUCUUCCCCAUACUUGACAUAGAGCAUAAGCUGAGAGGUACAUAAUACAUGCCAUAAUUUAUGACGGUGCUUAGGUAAAGCCAUGCAAACUCGUCUAUCAUUGCCAGGUUCAUUUCCAGUGGUGUUCAUUGAAGGUAAGUUGACUCAUUUAUACAAAACAAUUCCCUCAUUUCCCUUUGAGCAAUUGUCAAGUGUGCUUGACGCAGGCCAAGUGACCUUCAAAUGCGGAGUGGGGUUUGGCCUGGAAUGUCAGUGUGCAUUUGGCAGCAUGAAUUGCUCCAAAGAAUCCUGAUUUCUUAUGCAUGAACUGCUGACCCCAGCACUGGGGCCUGGAGAGCGGGACGGGAAGGAAGGUGAACUCCUGCUGAUUCAGGGGCCCUCCCAGCAGCCUUUCCACGGUGUCAGCAGUAUUCACAUCACUUUCCUCUCCUCCCUCUUCCGCCCCACCGUAAGUCCUGUCCCUGGAAGCACUUUUCAGUUGCCAGGAAUCAUGAACAUUAGGAAACAAUCCAAAAAAACGGGGUGUCUACUUUAUAUUCUGUGGCCCACACGGUCACACAUGGGCCUGGUUUUAACACCGGGUCAUAGGUGUGGAAACAGCCUGGCCUAGAGGAAGGAACACUGAACCAGUGAGAGAGGCCUUCAGUGACUCCAGGACCAAGCAAGUGUGUGGCCUGGAGGCUGGCCUUUCUAAGAGGCCUGUCUCGGUGGAAACGGAGGAAUGUUCUACUGCUGGCUUUCCAGAGCGCUCCUCUAGCCCCACUACUUGGAGCGAUGCUUCCCGGUGUUGAAGCUGCAGAUCUAAGGACCAUGUUUCUUCAAACACAACCAGGCCUCUAGGGCAAGAUCGUUUCCAGGAGAUGUAAUGAAAUAUGAAGGAAAACGCCCAGCAGGCAACAUGCCUGCCUGCUGAGGAUCACAGGAAACAGCCUUACUACCAAUCUACCAAUACUGGGCCCUGAGCUGGAGAAACAGCUCCUUUUUUCAUUUCAAAAUAUCACUAAUGUUCCAUGGUGCAGGACAUAUUUCAAAUGCCUCAAUUGGAAAAAACAGGCUCCAAAGGCAUCACGGUGUGCCUGUGGCUCUUGUCUGUGCUAGGCAGCAGCACAAGGGCCUGCUCAUUAGCUCACUGAUGACAGGUUUAUCCGCAACUGUAUAUCAAGCAAUGAGAAAGUCAGCUGUGCGAGCAAACGUCCCUCAGUCAUAUUGCACAAAGCCUUCGUAAAGGGAUAGAGUGCUGAAAGCCUCCUAACUCCUCUCUAGCUGAACAUCUUUUCCCCUCCGCUACCUCUGAACCUCUCAUCCUUCCAACUCAGCUCAAGAACGCAGAAGCUGUUUGCCGACCCCUUCUGCUAGUGUCCUGUCCUUGGUAAUUCAAAGACGCCCCCGGGAUGGCCCACAAAGAGCCCUGUGUGCAUGCACACGCGCCACUGUCACUGAUAAGGCCACUGGGUGGUGAGCGGUUCUUUUCACACUUCACAUCCAGAGGCUUUUCCUGUGAUUUGUGUGUGAAGCACCUGUUUGCAUGGUCCGUCCACCCUUAUCUGAGAUUCUGCCUCUUAGGCACCAGGGCAGGUUGAAGCCUUUUUCACCCACUUACAAAGCAACAGCUUAUUCCUGAGAAGUGUGUCAAGCUGGUAUGUCCACUGUGCUCCCCAGACUCACCAAUAAGAUCACUGACUUAAUUGUUUUCUGCCCCUUACUUUUAGAAGAAAGAAGUUAGGCAAUCUAAAGGAGUCAAACUGAUAAUGUUGCUUUUGAAAAAAAGUAAACAAAUAAUAAAACAUCUCCCAGAGUGUAUGGGGUCCAAAACACAUUUAACCCAGUUUCUCACACUUUCCAUAUGAACAUUUACUCAAUAAUCCUACGUGAUGUUUAGAAUGAAUAAUUACUGUGGGGCCCCUCAUCAAACAUCAGAAAGAGACCAAUAGGUUCGAUAUUUUGCCGUAAAGCAGGAAAUUGAACUAAGUAUCAAGAAAUAAAUACCAACAGAGAGAAUAACAAAGGAAGGAAGGAGGGAUUAAUUGUCAUUGUUAGAGAAAAACUCAUUUUCUGAUGAUGAUGGUCAAGACCUUAUCUUAUAAUCCUCCUAACUAUAGCCUCCUUUUCUUUGCAUUGGGUACCCAACAUCCAUUAUGACUGUUGUCUCCAGAAGCCCAGAGACAUUCAUCUUUUUGCUCUCCUUUCACUGAUGAGGAGACUGGACGUCACGUGAUAAUUCAGCUGCCCAGUCUUAUGGCAAGCGAGAGAGACCUAUUUUGAACUGAGGCAUGCUGGACUUCAAAGUCCAUGUUCUUGCUCUUAGAGCAAGUCUCUAAAACAAGAUUUUCACUAAUUCUUAACAAUUUAUUGAGUUCAGCAGUUACUGAGCAUCUAUCAUGUCUUGGCAGUGAUAGGGAAUACAGAUAUAAAAAAGUUACAGCCCUACCUUCACUUGAGCCAAAAAUAUUUUUCUUUAGGGAAUCUUUAGAACAAACACUUUCAGAAAAUUUUUCUAAUUGAGCUUGAGAUGUUGACUUGACUCUCAUUUUUAAAACUAACUAAUUGGCUAUCAAAAUGGCAACACUUACAAGAUAAUGCUUUCUGUAUUUCUUCAUGCAUUUAACUCCCUAACUAAUGAAAAACUUCAUGAUAUUUUCUCCCAAAGGAGGGGAUAGAAGUGUCUUUUCUUCUCACACUGUGAAGACAAGUAAACGUAAUUUAGUUUCAAUACAGUUAUAUUAGCUUUAGAUAAUAAUGAGCUAUUGCCAUAUAUCAGACCACAAAAAAAGAACCAAAACUAAACAUUAAUACAAGGUAUGUUUUUAUUUCUAUUAUACUUUAAGUUCUGGGAUACAUGUGCAGAAUUUGCAGGUUUGUUACAUAAGUAUACACGUGCCAUGGUGGUUUGCUGCACCCAUCAACCCAUCAUCUACAUUAGGUAUUUCUCCUAAUGCUAUUCCUCCCCUAGCCCUCCACCCCCCAACAGGCCCCAGUGUGCGAUGUUCCCCUCCCUGUGUCCAUGUGUUCUCAUUGUUCAAUGUGUAACAGAGUUGGAGUAUGGCUUCUAAAAAUCAUAAUUUCAUAUGCAUAAUGGCAAUUGCUAGACAAGAAUUCUGUAACUAGAGCUAGUUACAUGAGCAAAAACUGCCUCAUAGUUCAGGUUGCAAAGUGGGCAGCCAUUAUAGCCCAGAAGACACUCCCAGAAGAAAUUGGUGAGCUAACUUUGUAUAUUUAUGAACAUUUUUGGUAUUUUCAGUCUUUCCGAAGCACCUGGUGAUGGCCAGUGUGGAAGACUAGGUGGAGCAUGACAAGAUCAUUGUCUGUAAGCACUCACUGUGCUGUUUCUAGAAGACGCUUCUGUAGGUGAAUAAAGGUGGUUAUUGCUGAGUCUUUCUUCACCAAAAAAUAAUGAAACUAAUUUAAUAGGCUGAUUUGGAAAAGAGCCUAGUAAAAUCCGCUGCAGAAUUGGGAUUUGCUUUGAAAAGUGUCUCUGUCCUUACAGGCACACUGAUGGAGUAUUGUUUUGUUCCUCAUGUGGCAUUUUUCAAGCCACUUCAAGUCUGUUUUCAAACUAAAUUGGGAAUUAAAAAAUCAUAUGAUAAGUAAAUUGAAAAAUGUAACUCACUAGUGUCCAUUCUCUAGCAUCCAAAGUAUUUGACCUAUUACAAAUUUAUCAACAGUAAAUAUUUCUUAGACUAAUUUGUAACCUGUUAUAAAUUCACCCAAAGGAAUAGUAAUUUUCAUAAUAAUGGAAUAAAAGAGCUUUCAAUGUCCCUUAUGAAGCUGUGUUCAAUGGAAAUAAAGCAUUGGGUGUAGCGGUGGGUAUGUGAAUGGAUGGAGAACUGGCUGAGCAGCCUAUGGGUUGAUUAGCCAUAGAAACAUUGGGCCUUGAUUGCUGCAAGCCCUCAGCCUGGGCCCAGUUUAAGAGCAGCCUG
rnacentral:lncRNA from 1 species